UAGGGAAUUUUCGUCAAUGGGGGGAACCCUGAACGAGCAAUGCCGCGUGUGUGAAGAAGGUCUUCGGAUCGUAAAGCACUGUUGUAAGUGAAGAAUGCCAUAUAGAGGAAAUGCUAUGUGGGUGACGGUAGCUUACCAGAAAGCCACGGCUAACUACGUGCCAGCAGCCGCGGUAAUACGUAGGUGGCAAGCGUUAUCCGGAAUCAUUGGGCGUAAAGGGUGCGUAGGUGGCACGAUAAGUCUGAAGUAAAAGGCAAACAGCUCAACUGUUGUAUGCUUUGGAAACUGUCGAGCUAGAGUGCAGAAGAGGCGAUGGAAUUCCAUGUGUAGCGGUAAAAUGCGUAGAUAUAUGGAGGAACACCAGUGGCGAAGGCGGUCGCCUGGUCUGUAACUGACACUGAUGCACGAAAGCGUGGGGAGCAAAUAGGAUUAGAUACC
rnacentral:rRNA from 1 species